rnacentral:rRNA from 1 species
GGCUUUUGGGCUGUCGCAGAUGGAUGAGCCUGCGUUGGAUUAGCUAGUUGGUGGGGUAAGGGCCUACCAAGGCUACGAUCCAUAGCUGAUUUGAGAGGAUGAUCAGCCACAUUGGGACUGAGACACGGCCCAAACUCCUACGGGAGGCAGCAGUGAGGAAUAUUGGACAAUGGGGGCAACCCUGAUCCAGCAAUGCCAUGUGUGUGAAGAAGGCCUUAGGGUUGUAAAGCACUUUAGUUGGGGAAGAAAGCUUUGAGGUUAAUAGCCUUGAGGAAAAGGACGUUACCCAAAGAAUAAGCACCGGCUAACUCCGUGCCAGCAGCCGCGGUAAUACGGGGGGUGCAAGCGUUAAUCGGAAUUACUGGGCGUAAAGGGUCUGUAGGUGGUUUGUUAAGUCAGAUGUGAAAGCCUAGGGCUCAACCUUGGAACUGCAUUUGAUACUGGUAAACUAGAGUACGGUAGAGGAAUGGGGAAUUUCUGGUGUAGCGGUGAAAUGCGUAGAGAUCAGAAGGAACACCAAUGGCGAAGGCAACAUUCUGGACCGAUACUGACACUGAGGGACGAAAGCGUGGGGAUCAAACAGGAUUAGAUACCCUGGUAGUCCACGCUGUAAACGAUGAGUACUAGCUGUUGGAGUCGGUGUAAAGGCUCUAGUGGCGCAGCUAACGCGAUAAGUACUCCGCCUGGGGACUACGGCCGCAAGGCUAAAACUCAAAGGAAUUGACGGGGACCCGCACAAGCGGUGGAGCAUGUAGUUUAAUUCGAUGCAACGCGAAGAACCUUACCUGGUCUUGACAUCCUGCGAUCUUUCUAGAGAUAGAUUGGUGCCUUCGGGAACGCAGUGACAGGUGCUGCACGGCUGUCGUCAGCUCGUGUUGUGAAAUGUUGGGUUAAGUCCCGCAACGAGCGC